CAGAGAUGCGGAUGGCAAUAACUAAACACAGGAAAGGCAGGGAGAGUCUUUGAGAAGUGUCUUGAGGAUUAAGAGUUGCCUCCGGGGAGUAUAAAUAGACAUAAAUGAAGCAAAAAAGAAGAGAAAUCCUGGAAGCUGUAGCUCAGGAAGUUAAGUAGAAACACUACAGAAGGCUGAGAUGAAGAGAAAGAUGGAGGGUGUGAGGGGCGUACCCAAGGCUGGAUGAACUAGGUCUCUGUGAGGCCACCUAAAGAGGGAGCAUGCUUAGAACUGAUGCUUAAGAACUCAGCUCCUCUGCGCUGCCAGCUGCGUGCUGUGCAUAGAGAUGGCUCCCAUCUGAGAGAAGAGAGGCCCAGACAGCACAGGAAAGCUUUAACUCCGCCAGGCUUGAAGAUUGUUUAAACACAGUGGAGACUUUUCGUAUAUCCUGGAGAACAACCGUGAAUCCUCAUCGAGGCCUGCAGCACGCUUACU